rnacentral:rRNA from 1 species
AUGCAGAUUGCUGGACUCAACACCCUCGGCAUCUCAAUUGCGCGCAUCGACUAUGCUCCCUUAGGUCAGAACCCACCACAUACGCACCCUCGCGCCACUGAGAUCCUCACGGUGCUCGAGGGGAUACUAUAUGUUGGCUUUGUCACAUCCAACCAGCCCGCCCCCAACAGAAACAAGUUCCUUUCCAAGAUGCUCAACAAAGGUGAUGUGUUUGUCUUCCCCGUGGGGCUCAUCCACUUCCAAUUCAACCCCAACCCCCACCAGCCCGCUGUUGCAAUUGCCGCGCUUAGCAGCCAGAACCCAGGGGCUAUCACAAUUGCCAAUGCAGUGUUUGGGUCGGACCCACCAAUAUCAGAUGAUGUUCUUGCCAAGGCAUUUCAGGUGGAAAAGAAUACAAUAGACUAUCUCCAGGCUCAAUUUUGGGAGAACAACCACAACUAA